AACUCAUGAUAAAGGUAGCUUCUCAAGAGUUCUUUGAACCUGUCCCAUGCUUCUUAAAGUGUUUCAUCUUCCCUUUGAGAAAAAACCAACAUUUCUUGCCUCAACAU